UCACACUGGUCUCUCUCUUCCUCUCAACGCUCCCUCUCAACUAGCUGUUAGCAUUAGCCGCUUUCCUUCUCAGUAGCGUUACUAGCAAGACUUGCUGUCCUUAACUUGCUUUCCGUUAACUUUCUGUCUUUAACUUUCAAGCUGAACUUGUCAGCUGAAGCUUAAAAGGAAUUUU